UGGCCUCCCAAAGUGCUAGGAUUACAGGUGUGAGCCACGGCGCCCUGAGGACUGGCAGACCCAUCUGACUUUCUUGGAGUAGAGGAGGAAGAGGAGGAAGAAGAGGUGCAGGAGGAAGACCAGUGUUGAUUGAGCCAGCGGGAAGCAGAAUCUCUGGAGGGCCAUGCAGAGCCUUGGGGACUGACCAAGUUCCCCCACUGAGGGGUCCCAGGUGAGCCACUGUUCCCUGCCCACCCCAUCUGUUGUCCUCCCCAGGCUGUCAGCUCCACCCGGGUCUGGCUUGGUUCAGGUGCCUUCCAGAAGUGGCAGGUCUCAGGGGCUCACCCUGCCCCCCUCCCCCAGGCUCCUCCCUCUCUCCAUCCUGUGAGUCCUGAGGGGCCGGCUUCAGGCUGGGCUCCCAUUACCAGGCCCAGGUCCCUUCCCUGCACCACUCCCGGGGCCUUCAGUUGCAUGCUCUGUUGUCCCCCUGGCCUCAGUGAGAAGCCCAGGCCAGGGCCCUGCCCUUCUUCCACAACCUACCAGGGCCAGGGCCAAGGCCCUCACUGUCCCUAUGCCCCUUCCUCAUGGCUGAGCCCCCUGAGCCCUCAGAGAUCUGCUAUACAACUGCCCAGAGGCCAGGCCAGGUGCCCUCUUGCCCUGUGGCCACAACCCUCAGAUCUCACCAAGGCAGGCCCCAAGGGAACAGGGCCAGAUCCUCAGGCUGCCCCUCCUCUCCAGCUUACUUGGAGACCACAGUGCUGAGAGCCCACGGGCCUGCUCUAGUCCCCUCUCUGUCCCUACCCCCUCUCCUGAGCUCCCUAAAUGUGUCAUGAGGCUGUGCCCUAACCCUGACCACAGGCUGGACCGACAGGAGAGCCUGGGAGGAGUUCUGACCCUGGAGAGGAGGUUGGCCCAGCCAGGGAGACAUGUCCUGCUUCAGAGAGGCCUUUCUAAAAACAAAACCCAUCCCUGAGGAAGCAAGACAUCUGGUGACUGCUCCGUUCUACCCCAAUUCUCACUCACUCUGGCCAGUGAAGCCGCUUCAGGAACAAC
rnacentral:lncRNA from 1 species